GACGAACGCUGGCGGCGUGCUUAACACAUGCAAGUCGAACGGAGUGGCGAACGGGUGAGUAACACGUGGGUGAUCUGCCUUGCACUUCGGGAUAAGCUUGGGAAACUGGGUCUAAUACCGGAUAGUGCAAGAUGAGCUCUCGGCCUAUCAGCGUGUUGGGGGGGUAAUGGCCUACCACGGCGUCGACGGGUAGCCGGCCUGAGAGGGUGUACGGCGACAAUGGUACUGAGAUAGGGCCCAGACGGCUACAGGAGGCAGCAGGGGGGAAUCUUGCGCAAUGGGCGGAAGCAUGAUGCAGCGACGCCGGGUGGGGGAUGAAGGCCUUCGGGUGGUAAACUCCUUUCGACAGGGACGCGGUACCUGUAUAAGAAGCACCGGCUAACUACGUGCCAGCAGCCGCGGUAAUUC
rnacentral:rRNA from 1 species